rnacentral:rRNA from 1 species
UACGAAGGUGGCAAGCGUUGUCCGGAAUUACUGGGUGUAAAGGGCGUGUAGGCGGGUUGUCAAGUCAGAUGUGAAAUUCCAGGGCUCAACCCUGGAGCUGCAUCUGAAACUGAUGAUCUUGAGUACUGGAGAGGGAAGCGGAAUUCCUAGUGUAGCGGUGAAAUGCGUAGAUAUUAGGAGGAACACCAGUGGCGAAGGCGGCUUUCUGGACAGUAACUGACGCUGAGGCGCGAAAGCGUGGGGAGCGAACAGG